rnacentral:rRNA from 1 species
AACGAACGCUGGCGGCAUGCCUAACACAUGCAAGUCGAACGAGACCUUCGGGUCUAGUGGCGCACGGGUGCGUAACGCGUGGGAACCUGCCCUUAGGUUCGGAAUAACUCCCCGAAUGGGGUGCUAAUACCGGAUAAUGUCUUCGGACCAAAGAUUUAUCGCCUUUGGAUGGGCCCGCGUUGGAUUAGCUAGUUGGUAGGGUAAAAGCCUACCAAGGCGUCGAUCCAUAGCUGGUCUGAGAGGAUGAUCAGCCACACUGGGACUAAGACACGGCCCAGACUCCUACGGGAGGGAGCAGUGGGGAAUAUUGGACAAUGGGCGAAAGCAUGAUCCAGCAAUGCCGCGUGAGUGAUGAAGGCCUUAGGGUUGUAAAGCUCUUUUACCCGGGAUGAUAAUGACAGUACCGGGAGAAUAAGCUCCGGCUAACUCCGUG